rnacentral:snRNA from 1 species
AAACUCACCUGAAAGGAGUCAAUAGGUGAUCAAGAAGGCUCACGACCAAAGCAUGUGACCUCUAUUGCAUUUUGGAGGGGUGCUCGCCUAAGGUUGACUCAAGUGAUUGAGCCUAUGUCAUAAUCUGUGACAGUGGAGGUUUGCGUUCGUGCGGCCCCUG